rnacentral:rRNA from 1 species
AUUGAACGCUGGCGGCAGGCCUAACACAUGCAAGUCGAACGGUAACAGGAAGCAGCUUGCUGCUUUGCUGACGAGUGGCGGACGGGUGAGUAAUGUCUGGGAAACUGCCUGAUGGAGGGGGAUAACUACUGGAAACGGUAGCUAAUACCGCAUAACGUCGCAAGACCAAAGAGGGGGACCUUCGGGCCUCUUGCCAUCGGAUGUGCCCAGAUGGGAUUAGCUAGUAGGUGGGGUAACGGCUCACCUAGGCGACGAUCCCUAGCUGGUCUGAGAGGAUGACCAGCCACACUGGAGCUGAGACACGGUCCAGACUCCUACGGGAGGCAGCAGUGGGGAAUAUUGCACAAUGGGCGCAAGCCUGAUGCAGCCAUGCCGCGUGUAUGAAGAAGGCCUUCGGGUUGUAAAGUACUUUCAGCGGGGAGGAAGGGAGUAAAGUUAAUACCUUUGCUCAUUGACGUUACCCGCAGAAGAAGCACCGGCUAACUCCGU